rnacentral:tRNA from 1 species
AAGACACUAGUAAAAUAGAUUAUUACAUUACCUUGUCAAGGUAAUAUUGUGGGUUAAAACCCCGCGUGUCUUG